rnacentral:rRNA from 1 species
UACGUAGGGUGCAAGCGUUGUUCGGAAUCAUUGGGCGUAAAGCGCGUGUAGGCGGUUAGUUAAGUCGAUUGUGAAAUCCCUGGGCUCAACCGAGGAAGUGCAGUCGAAACUAACUAACUAGAGGACGGCAGAGGAAGGUGGAAUUCCAAGUGUAGAGGUGAAAUUCGUAGAUAUUUGGAGGAAUACCUGUGGCGAAGGCGGCCUUCUGGACCGGUCCUGACGCUGAGGCGCGAAAGCGUGGGGAGCAAACAGG